GAUGAACGCUGGCGGCGUGCCUAAUACAUGCGAGUCGAGCGAACAGACGAGGAGCUUGCUCCUCUGACGUUAGCGGCGGACGGGUGAGUAACACGUGGAUAACCUACCUAUAAGACUGGGAUAACUUCGGGAAACCGGAGCUAAUACCGGAUAACAUGUUGAACCGCAUGGUUCAACAGUGAAAGACGGUCUUGCUGUCACUUAUAGAUGGAUCCGCGCUGCAUUAGCUAGUUGGUAAGGUAACGGCUUACCAAGGCAACGAUGCGUAGCCGACCUGAGAGGGUAAUCGGCCACACUGGAACUGAGACACGGUCCAGACUCCUACGGGAGGCAGCAGUAGGGAAUCUUCCGCAAUGGGCGAAAGCCUGACGGAGCAACGCCGCGUGAGUGAAGAAGGUCUUCGGAUCGUAAAACUCUGUUAUUAGGGAAGAACAAAUGUGUAAGUAACUAUGCACGUCUUGACGGUACCUAAUCAGAAAGCCACGGCUAACUACGUG
rnacentral:rRNA from 1 species